GAUGAAGAACGUAGCGAAAUGCGAUAAGUAAUGUGAAUUGCAGAAUUCAGUGAAUCAUCGAAUCUUUGAACGCACAUUGCGCCCGCCAAUAUUCUGGCGGGCAUGCCUGUUCGAGCGUCAUUUCAACCCUCAGGCCCCCAGUGCCAGGUGUUGGGGAUCGGCCCAGCCUUCCUGUAAGGCCGCCGGCCCCGAAAUCUAGUGGCGGUCUCGCUGUAGUCCUCCUCUGCGUAGUAGCACAACCUCGCAGUUGGAACGCGGCGGUGGCCAUGCCGUUAAACACCCCACUUCUGAAAGUUGACCUCGGAUCAGGUAGGAAUACCCGCUGAACUUAAGCAUAUCAAUAAGCGGAGGA
rnacentral:misc_RNA from 1 species